GCCUGAUCCGGGCCCGUUGGCGGCGUCACGGGUGCUUCGCUCUGGUCCUCGUAUCCCGGGCGCGGGGAGGCAGGCCGACCGUGAGCUGCUUGUCCCCAUCCUGUGGCCGUCCUGGGGACACAGAGCUCUCCGUGGUGCCUGGGGCUUGGAUUGGAGCCAGGACCUCACUUCCUCCUCUGCCCCUGCCCCUGCCCCUCCCAGCACCUGGCCCACACCCUGCAGCCUGCCCCAUGGUCUGGCCCUGGGUGGCGAUGGCGUCCAGGUGGGGUCCCCUCGUUGGCCUGGCUCCGUGCUGCCUCUGGCUCCUGGGGGCGGUCCUUCUGAUGGACGCGUCUGCACGGCCUGCCAACCACUCGUCCACUCGAGAGAGAGCAGCCCACAGGGAGGAGAGUGAGAUCCUGCCCCCAGACCACCUGAACGGGGUGAAGCUGGAGAUGGACGGGCACCUCAAUCGGGGCUUCCACCAGGAGGUCUUCCUAGGCAAGGACCUGGGUGGCUUUGAUGAGGACGCGGAGCCACGGCGGAGCCGGAGGAAGCUGAUGGUCAUCUUUUCCAACAGGGCCUGGUGCUUCAGGGCC
rnacentral:sRNA from 1 species